rnacentral:rRNA from 1 species
GCAGGAGUAGCAAUACUUGCUGGCGACCGGCAAACGGGUGCGGAACACGUACGCAAUCUACCUUCAACUGGGGCAUAGCCCGAAGAAAUUCGGAUUAACACCCCAUAAGAUAACUAACAGGCAUCUGUUUGGUUAUUAAAACUGAGGUGGUUGGAGAUGAGCGUGCGUCCCAUUAGAUAGUUGGUAGGGUAACGGCCUACCAAGUCGACGAUGGGUAGCUGAUGUGAGAGCAUGAUCAGCCACACGGGCACUGAGACACGGGCCCGACUCCUACGGGAGGCAGCAGUGAGGAAUAUUGGUCAAUGGACGCAAGUCUGAACCAGCCAUACCGCGUGCAGGAUGAAGGCCUUCUGGGUUGUAAACUGCUUUUAUCAGGGAAGAAACCACAGAUUUCUAUUUGUGCCGACGGUACCUGAGGAAUAAGCACCGGCUAACUCCGUGCCAGCAGCCGCGGUAAUACGGAGGGUGCAAGCGUUAUCCGGAUUCACUGGGUUUAAAGGGUGUGUAGGCGGGCUUGUAAGUCCGAGGUGAAAUCUCCGAGCUCAACUUGGAAACUGCCUUGGAUACUAUAGGUCUUGAAUAUCGUUGAGGUAGGCGGAAUAUGUCAUGUAGCGGUGAAAUGCUUAGAUAUGACAUAGAACACCGAUUGCGGAGGCAGCUUGCUAAACGAUUAUUGACGCUGAGGCACGAAAGCGUGGGGAUCAAACAGGAUUAGAUACCCUGGUAGUCCACGCCCUAAACGAUGAUUACUCGACAUACGCGAUAUACA